rnacentral:sRNA from 1 species
CGCCGUGUCUGUCAAACGACACUGAGGGGCUGCGCUGCAUGUGGCGAUGGAGCAGUGUCCUUUAUAUACCAUUGGGCUGUGCCAGCUGGGGACCGAACCCAGGGCCUUGCGCUUACUAGGCAAGCGCUCUACCACUGAGCUAAAUUCCCAACCUCCCAGCUAUUUCUUAUAUGGCUUUUUCCCUCUACUAGCAGAGAAUGUUACAAGUCUCAGACCACAUCUAAUUUAACAGUUUGUCACCAGCUCAGGGCCUGAGGAAAGGGUUUGAUUAACAGAACAAGCGCCCGUGGUUCAUUUGGCUUCGCUGUGGACUUAAUCUUUUUUUUUUUUCUUUUUUUUCCGGAGCUGGGGACCGAACCCAGGGCCUUGCGCUUGCUAGGCAAGCGCUCUACCACUGAGCUAAAUCCCCAACCCCGUGGACUUAAUCUUAAUGAGGCGUGACUAAGUAAAUACCUGGAGUCUCCAUGAAGUCAAAGGUGCAGUGUCUGAGUCCGGAGGAAUGAAGAUCCGCUGGUGGACAGACAGUGCAAACAAAUGCUUCUGACCUAGAAGGCCCAGUGCCUGGAGGGAGAUGCAGGUGGGGUCCAAGGCCGUCUUCUUUUAGCCUCCUUCCCUAUCUUACUCUUCCUCAGAGAUCUGGGUCCAAACCUCAAGCAUGAGCCUUGCAGGAACCUCAUAUACUGUGAGCAACCAGCCACCAGCCACCAGCUAGACUGGAUUCUCUUCUUGUCCAAGUCUUCCUGUCCCCGAAGCUCUGGCAGAGUGGCCAUCCAGAAACAGUUCCUGGUAACUGCUCUCCUUGAGCUCUCUGAAUCCUGAUCCACCCACCGAACAGGCCUGCCAUAGCAAGACAACCCUCCUGCAGCUGGGGGUUGGGGAUGAGGGAGUGGGGGAGGGGGCUGGGUUGGGGGGCUGAGGUCUGACUGCGGAGAUAGGGCGUCCUCUGCUGUUAGGUGGAUACCUCAGUGACCUGCCUCACUGCGAGGGGGCAGUUUCGGCCAAGCCUAACAACCUGACUGUGAUCCCUGGGACUCUCGAGGUAGAAGGAGAGGACAGAUUCCUGCAAGUUGUUCUCUGACCUACUUGUGUAAGCCAUGGCGUGUGCGUGCCCCUCUCCCCAUGCAAUAAAUGCGUUUAUUUUUUUAA